CAAAGGCUUCGGCCGGUAAAGGAUGGGGAUGCGUCUGAUUAGCUUGCCGGCGGGGUAACGGCCCACCGGGGCGACGAUCAGUAGGGGUUCUGAGAGGAAGGUCCCCCACAUUGGAACUGAGACACGGUCCAAACUCCUACGGGAGGCAGCAGUGAGGAAUAUUGGUCAAUGGGCGCGAGCCUGAACCAGCCAAGUAGCGUGCAGGACGACGGCCCUAUGGGUUGUAAACUGCUUUUAUACGGGGAUAAAGUAUGCCACGUGUGGUUUAUUGCAGGUACCGUAUGAAUAAGGACCGGCUAAUUCCGUGCCAGCAGCCGCGGUAAUACGGAAGGUCCGGGCGUUAUCCGGAUUUAUUGGGUUUAAAGGGAGCGUAGGCCGGGUUUUAAGCGUGCCGUGAAAUGUCGGGGCUCAACCUUGACACUGCGGCGCGAACUGGAGUCCUUGAGUGCGCGGAACGUAUGCGGAAUUCGUGGUGUAGCGGUGAAAUGCUUAGAUAUCACGAAGAACCCCGAUUGCGAAGGCAGCAUACGGCAGCGCUACUGACGCUGAAGCUCGAAGGCGCGGGUAUCGAACAGGAUUAGAUACCCUGGUAGUCC
rnacentral:rRNA from 1 species